rnacentral:rRNA from 1 species
UAGGGAAUCUUCGGCAAUGGGGGGAACCCUGACCGAGCAACGCCGCGUGAGUGAAGAAGGUUUUCGGAUCGUAAAGCUCUGUUGUUAAGGAAGAACGAGUGUGAGAAUGGAAAGUUCAUACUGUGACGGUACUUAACCAGAAAGGGACGGCUAACUACGUGCCAGCAGCCGCGGUAAUACGUAGGUCCCGAGCGUUGUCCGGAUUUAUUGGGCGUAAAGCGAGCGCAGGCGGUUAGAUAAGUCUGAAGUUAAAGGCAGUGGCUCAACCAUUGUAGGCUUUGGAAACUGUUUAACUUGAGUGCAGAAGGGGGGAGUGGAAUUCCAUGUGUAGCGGUGAAAUGCGUAGAUAUAUGGAGGAACACCGGUGGCGAAAGCGGCUCUCUGAUCUGUAACUGACGCUGAGGCUAGAAAGCGUGGGGAGCGAACAGG